UUUUUUUCCUUCUUCUUCUUCUCCCCAAAGCCCCCCAGUACAUAGUUGUACAUUCUAGUUGUGAGUGCCUCUGGUUGUGGCAUGUGGGAUGCCACCUCAACAUGGCCUGAUGAGCUGUGCCAUGUCCGUGCCCAGGAUCCCAACCUGCAAGACCCUGGGCCGCUGAAGCGGAGCACACAAACUUAAUCACUCGGCCACUGGCCCGGCCCCUGUUCCGGGAAAGCCAUGCGAGGACAUAGCAAGAAGGCAACUGUCUGCAAGCCAGAAAGAGAGGCUUCACCAAAAACUAACCCUGCUGGCACCUUGAUCUUGCACUUCCAGCCUCCAGAACUGAACAAGAAGACUACACAGUCACCCUGGUGAAACUGAGCUAUGACAGACGAGCUGAAGACCGACUAUACGUUCAAGUUCAUCAGAGGAAAAAGCAUCACUUGAAUUUCACUGGCAGGGACCGUCCCUGCUUGUGCUAACCUCCUACAUAUCCUGGUCCAGGCUUCCCACCUUCAGAAGAUGUUUGCCCCAGGGGCAUGGCAGUUUCUUAUUCCUAUCUCAUGAACUUUUAACCUUAAGAACAACUUGGUAGCUAUUUUAUAUUGACUCAUUAUUUGCUCUCUGGGCGCCAAAUGAUACUUAUUGUAACAAGGGAGGCUGGGAGUGAGCCAGUUUUUGAGUAACAUGAGAAGUUACAACUUUAAAGAGAAUAAUUCUGUCACUAACCUGUCCUCUGAAAGGAAAAAAGCUUAGGCAAAUUAGCCACUGUUUUCCACUCGACAAAAAAAAAAAGGACUUGCUCAAUUCUUACCUCAAAAAUUUAAAG
rnacentral:lncRNA from 1 species